rnacentral:lncRNA from 1 species
UAUGUGCGUACCUUGCAAGGUCCUCAUGUCUGUCAGACAGUUUUCACUUGACCUCGACCUCAUUUCAUGGAUCAGUGAACAAGGUUAAGUUUUGGUGGUCAAGUCCAUAUCUCAGAUACUAUAAGCAAUAGGGCUAGUAUAUUCAGUGUAUGGAAGGACUGUAAGGUGUACAUCUCCAACUGGCAGGUGUCAUCUGACCUUGACCUCAUUUUCAUGGUUCAGUGGUUAUAGUUAAAUUUUUGCGUUUUGGUCUGUUUUUCUCAUACUAUAUGCAAUAGGUCUACUAUAUUUGUUGUAUGGAACGAUUGUAAGGUGUACAUGUCUAUCGGGCAGAUGUCAUGUGACCUUGACCUCAUUUUCAUGGUUCAGUGGUCAAAGUUAAAUUUUUGUGUUUUGGUCUGUUUUUCUCAUACUAUAUGCAAUAGGUCUACUAUAUUUGUUGUAUUGAACGAUUGUAAGGUGUACAUGUCUAACGGGCAGAUGUCAUGUGACCUUGACCUCAUUUUCAUGGUUCAGUGGUCAAAGUUAAGUUUUUAUACGACCGCAAAAUUUGAAAAAUUUUUCGUCGUAUAUUGCUAUCACGUUGGCGUCGUCGUCGUCUUCGUCGUCUUCGUCGUCGUCGUCGUCCGAAUACUUUUAGUUUUCGCACUCUAACUUUAGUAAAAGUGAAUAGAAAUCUAUGAAAUUUUAACACAAGGUUUAUGACCACAAAAGGAAGGUUGGGAUUGAUUUUGGGAGUUUUGGUCCCAACAUUUUAGGAAUUAGGGGCCAAAAAGGGCCCAAAUAAGCAUUUUCUUGGUUUUCGCACUAUAACUUUAGUUUAAGUUAAUAGAAAUCUAUGAAAUUUUGACACAAGGUUUAUCACCACAAAAGAAAGGUUGGGAUUGAUUUUGGGAGUUUUAGUUCCAACAGUUUAGGAAUUAGGGGCCAAAAAAGGGCCCAAAUAAGCAUUAUUCUUGGUUUUCGCACAAUAACUUUAGUUUAAGUAAAUAGAAAUCAAUGAAAUUUAAACACAAUGUUUAUGACCACAAAAGGAAGGUUGGUAUUGAUUUUGGGAGUUUAGGUCCCAACAGUUUAGGAAUUAGGGGCCAAAAAAGGGACCCAAAUAAGCAUUUUUCUUGGUUUUCGCACCAUAACUUUAGUAUAAGUGAAUAGAAAUCUAUAAAAUUUAAACACAAGGUUUAUGACCAUAAAAGGAAGG